rnacentral:rRNA from 1 species
CCUACGGGAGGCAGCAGUGGGGAAUAUUGGACAAUGGGCGCAAGCCUGAUCCAGCAAUGCCGCGUGUGUGAAGAAGGCCUUCGGGUUGUAAAGCACUUUUAUCAGGAGCGAAAUACUACCGGCUAAUAUCCGGUGGGGCUGACGGUACCUGAGGAAAAAGCACCGGCUAACUACGUGCCAGCAGCCGCGGUAAUACGUAGGGUGCAAGCGUUGUCCGGAAUUAUUGGGCGUAAAGAGCUCGUAGGCGGUUUGUCGCGUCUGCUGUGAAAACCUGAGGCUCAACCUCAGACCUGCAGUGGGUACGGGCAAGCUAGAGUGCGGUAGGGGAGAUGGGAAUUCCUGGUGUAGCGGUGGAAUGCGCAGAUAUCAGGAGGAACACCGAUGGCGAAGGCACAUCUCUGGGCCGUAACUGACGCUGAGGAGCGAAAGCGUGGGGAGCGAACAGGAUUAGAUACCCUGGUAGUCCACGCCGUAAACGGUGGGUGCUAGUUGUGGGUCACAUUCCACGUGAUCCGUGACGAAGUUAACACAUUAAGCACCCCGCCUGGGGAGUACGGUCGCAAGACUAAAACUCAAAGGAAUUGACGG